CAUGCAAGUCGAGCGGAACGAGUUAUCAAGCCUUCGGGUGGAGAUAACGGCGUCGAGCGGCGGACGGGUGAGUAAUGCCUGGGAAAUUCGCCCUGAUGUGGGGGAUAACCAUUGGAAACGAUGGCUAAUACCGCAUAAUAGCUUCGGCUCAAAGAGGGGGACCUUCGGGCCUCUCGCGUCAGGAUAUGCCCAGGUGGGAUUAGCUAGUUGGUGAGGUAAUGGCUCACCAAGGCGACGAUCCCUAGCUGGUCUGAGAGGAUGAUCAGCCGCACUGGAACUGAGACACGGUCCAGACUCCUACGGGAGGCAGCAGUGGGGAAUAUUGCACAAUGGGCGCAAGCCUGAUGCAGCCAUGCCGCGUGUAUGAAGAAGGCCUUCGGGUUGUAAAGUACUUUCAGCAGUGAGGAAGGUGGUGUCGUUAAUAGCGGCAUCAUUUGACGUUAGCUGCAGAAGAAGCACCGGCUAACUCCGUGCCAGCAGCCGCGGUAAUACGGAGGGUGCGAGCGUUAAUCGGAAUUACUGGGCGUAAAGCGCAUGCAGGUGGUUUGUUAAGUCAGAUGUGAAAGCCCGGGGCUCAACCUCGGAAUUGCAUUUGAAACUGGCAGACUAGAGUACUGUAGAGGGGGGUAGAAUUUCAGGUGUAGCGGUGAAAUGCGUAGAGAUCUGAAGGAAUACCGGUGGCGAAGGCG
rnacentral:rRNA from 1 species